rnacentral:rRNA from 1 species
UACGGAGGGUGCGAGCGUUGUUCGGAAUUACUGGGCGUAAAGCGAGUGUAGGCGGUUUGGUAAGUCGGAUGUGAAAGCCCCGGGCUCAACCCGGGAAGUGCACUCGAUACUGCCAAGCUAGAGUAUCGGAGAGGUUGGUGGAAUUCUCGGUGUAGAGGUGAAAUUCGUAGAUAUCGAGAGGAACACCGGUGGCGAAGGCGGCCAACUGGACGAAUACUGACGCUGAGACUCGAAAGCGUGGGGAGCAAACAGG